rnacentral:rRNA from 1 species
AAUCAACGCUGGCGGCGUGCCUAACACAUGCAAGUCGAACGANAAAGGGGACUUCGGUCCCUGAGUACAGUGGCGCACGGGUGAGUAACACGUGACUUAUCUACCCUCGAGUGGGGAAUAACUUCGGGAAACCGAGGCUAAUACCGCAUAAUACCCACGGGUCAAAGGAGCAAUUCGCUUGAGGAGGAGGUCGCGGCCCGAUUAGUUAGUUGGCGGGGUAAUGGCCCCCACCAAGACGGUGAUCGGUAUCCGGCCUGAGAGGGCGCACGGACACACUGGAACUGAAACACGGUCCAGACUCCUACGGGAGGCAGCAGUGGGGAAUUUUGCGCAAUGGGGGAAACCCUGACGCAGCAACGCCGCGUGGAGGAUGAAGUCUCUUGGGACGUAAACUCCUUUCGAUCGGGACGAUUAUGACGGUACCGGAAGAAGAAGCCCCGGCUAACUUCGUG